rnacentral:rRNA from 1 species
UACAGAGGGGGCAAGCGUUGUUCGGAAUUACUGGGCGUAAAGGGCGCGUAGGCGGCCCGCUAAGUCGAACGUGAAAUCCCCGGGCUCAACCCGGGAACUGCGUCCGAUACUGGUGGGCUUGAAUCCGGGAGAGGGAUGCGGAAUUCCAGGUGUAGCGGUGAAAUGCGUAGAUAUCUGGAGGAACACCGGUGGCGAAGGCGGCUCGCUGGGCCAGUUCUGACACUCAUCCGCGAAAGCGUGGGGAGCAAACAGGG